GGUUCCAUAGUGUAGCGGUUAGUGCGUCUGCUUUACACGCAGAAGGUCCUGGGUUCAUGCCCCAGUGGAGCCA
rfam:Pteropus alecto contig34689, whole genome shotgun sequence.